UACGUAGGGUGCAAGCGUUAAUCGGAAUUACUGGGCGUAAAGCGUGCGCAGGCGGUUUUGUAAGUCUGACGUGAAAGCCCCGGGCUCAACCUGGGAAUUGCGUUGGAGACUGCAAGGCUUGAAUCUGGCAGAGGGGGGUAGAAUUCCACGUGUAGCAGUGAAAUGCGUAGAGAUGUGGAGGAACACCGAUGGCGAAGGCAGUCCCCUGGGUCAAGAUUGACGCUCAUGCACGAAAGCGUGGGGAGCAAACAGG
rnacentral:rRNA from 1 species